CCUACGGGAGGCUGCAGUGAGGAAUAUUGGUCAAUGGACGAGAGUCUGAACCAGCCAAGUAGCGUGAAGGAUGACUGCCCUAUGGGUUGUAAACUUCUUUUAUAAAGGAAUAAAACGAGGCACGUGUGCCUUUUUGCAUGUACUUUAUGAAUAAGGAUCGGCUAACUCCGUGCCAGCAGCCGCGGUAAUACGGAGGAUCCGAGCGUUAUCCGGAUUUAUUGGGUUUAAAGGGAGCGUAGAUGGGUUGUUAAGUCAGUUGUGAAAGUUUGCGGCUCAACCGUAAAAGUGCAAUUGAUACUGGCAGUCGUGAGUACAGUUGAGGUAGGCGGAAUGCGUGGUGUAGCGGUGAAAUGCUUAGAUAUCACGAAGAACCCCGAUUGCGAAGGCAGCUUACUAAACUGUGACUGACAUUGAUGCUCGAAAGUGUGGGUAUCAAACAGGAUUAGAUACCCUUGUAGUC
rnacentral:rRNA from 1 species